AUUUGAGCAAUUCAAUUUGUGUGCGUCUUAGCGGGCGUGCGUGCGCAAGCGUACGUGUUGUCUGUGACGUAACUACAAUAAAUCUACAUACAUACGAUAUAUUUGUUCUACGUAUGAUUGCGUAUGCGAUUGCGACUGCGUUUGCGAUACUUUGUUUAGCAAGCGAUAGCGAUGGCGAUAACUAAUAAUCAGUUCGAUCAACUAGCAUAGAGUUACAAGUACUAAGAGUGAAUACACAAAUAGCUACAAUUAAUAAAGCUUAAUUACACGCGUUGAUAAAAGCAUACACACACACACACAGGCAGACAGAUUUCAAUUACUAUGGAAUUAUUUGCUUGGUUUCAAACAAAACUACCGCUGAGUCGAUCCCACUCACCUGCGUCCAGGUCACUACUAUCACCAUUACCAUCAUUGGCAUUCAGCUGUGAUCGCUGCUCAGAGUCAGCAACGUCUUCUUCAACAAUAUUACCUGUCGACGAGGGCGUAUUCUUGCAGCCGAACCACCAGUGCGCCGUGGGCCUUGGGAAUGGCGGCGUUGCCGUAUCCACCUGUUCAAAAGAGAUCGGGUAACUGCAGGUCGUUCAACUCAAGUGAGCUGCCAAGCUGAUUGCAAGUCCCUGGAGAAUCGCUGUAAACAAAUAAGAAAACAAUCAGAAUCAAGUGCGACAGGCACUUAACUGGCUCCCAUUGUCCAUCAUAAAGAGCGCUAAAGUGGGCGUGGGCGUGGAUGGCAGUGCCCUGCCCGCCCCAAGGGUCUUCCCGCUUCCGCCUUUGGGGCACACCCCACAGCCACUUGAAACUUGUGUGUGUGUGUGUGUGUGAAAACCGCUUGAUUAAAUGCACAUUUGAUUGUCACUGGACGCCGCGGAUCCUGCAGGACGAAAUGGACGCUGGGGCAUCAGUAACCAAAGAAAUUGAAGCCGCAGAGCAGCUUAUCCGGCCGGCGGAUGCGCAAGAUGCCAAACUGGAAGACG
rnacentral:sRNA from 1 species